rnacentral:misc_RNA from 1 species
GAUGAAGAACGCAGCGAAAUGCGAUACGUAAUGUGAAUUGCAGAAUUCAGUGAAUCAUCGAAUCUUUGAACGCAUAUUGCGCUCUCUGGUAUUCCGGAGAGCAUGCUUGUUUGAGUAUCAGUAAACACCUCAACUCCCUUUUCUUUUUUGAAAUGGGAGCUGGACUUGAGUGAUCCCAACACUUUUCUCACUGGAAAGUGGCGGGUCACUUGAAAUGCGGGUGCAGCUGGACUUUUCUCUGAGCUAUAAGCAUAUCUAUUUAGUCUGCCUAAAAAACAGAUUAUUACCUUUGCUGCAGCUAACAUAAAGGAGAUGAGUUCUUGUGCUGACUGAUGCAGGAUUCACAGAGACAGCUUUGCGGCUGACUUUGUAAACUCGAUCUCAAAUCAAGUAAGACUACCCGCUGAACUUAAGCAUAUCAAUAAGCGGAGGA